rnacentral:rRNA from 1 species
AUUGAACGCUGGCGGCAGGCCUAACACAUGCAAGUCGAGCGGUAACACAGGGAGCUUGCUCCUGGGUGACGACCGGCGGACGGGUGAGUAAUGUCUGGGAAACUGCCUGACGGCGGGGGAUAACUACGGGAAACGGUAGCUAAUACCGCAUAAUGUCCCAAGACCAAAGAGGGGGACCUUCGGGCCUCUUACUAUCAGAUGUGCCCAGAUGGGAUUAGCUGGUAGUUGGGGUAACGGCACACCUAGGCGACGACCCCUAGCCGGUCUGAGAGGCUGACCAGCCACACUGGAACUGAGACACGGUCCAGAGUCCUACGGGCGGCAGCAGUGGGGAAUAUUGCACAAUGGGCGCAAGCCUGAUGCAGCCAUGCCGCGUGUAUGAAGAAGGCCGUCGGGUUGUAAAGUACUUUCAGCGGGGAGGAAGGUGUUGAGGUUAAUAACCUCAGCAAUUGACGUUACCCGCAGAAGAAGCACCGGCUAACUCCGUGCCAGCCGCCGCAGUAA